GGAAUUACUGGGCGUAAAGCGCGCGUAGGCGGUUUGUUAAGUGUGAUGUGAAAGCCCAGGGCUCAACCUUGGAACUGCAUCACAUACUGGCAGGCUAGAGUACGGUAGAGGGGGGUAGAAUUCCACGUGUAGCGGUGAAAUGCAUAGAUAUUACAUAGAAUACCAAUUGCGAAGGCAGAUCACUAACAAUGUAUUGACACUGAUGGACGAAAGCGUGGGGAGCGAACGGGAUUAGAUACCCCGGUAGUCCACGCCGUAAACGAUGGUCACUAGCUGUUCGGACUUCGGUCUGAGUGGCUAAGCGAAAGUGAUAAGUGACCCACCUGGGGAGUACGUUCGCAAGAAUGAAACUCAAAGGAAUUGACGGGGGCCCGCACAAGCGGUGGAGCAUGUGGUUUAAUUCGAUGAUACGCGAGGAACCUUACCAGGGCUUAAAUGUAGAUUGCAUUAGCUAGAGAUAGCUAUUUCUUCGGACUAUCUACAAGGUGCUGCAUGGUU
rnacentral:rRNA from 1 species